CCUACGGGAGGCAGCAGUGAGGAAUAUUGGUCAAUGGACGAGAGUCUGAACCAGCCAAGUAGCGUGAAGGAUGACUGCCCUAUGGGUUGUAAACUUCUUUUAUAUGGGAAUAAAAUGUUCCACGUGUGGGAUUUUGUAUGUACCAUAUGAAUAAGGAUCGGCUAACGCCGUGCCAGCAGCCGCGGUAAUACGGAGGAUCCGAGCGUUAUCCGGAUUUAUUGGGUUUAAAGGGAGCGUAGGUGGAUUGUUAAGUCAGUUGUGAAAGUUUGCGGCUCAACCGGAAAAUUGCAGUUGAAACUGGCAGUCUUGAGUACAGUAGAGGUGGGCGGAAUUCGUGGUGUAGCGGUGAAAUGCUUAGAUAUCACGAAGAACUCCGAUUGCGAAGGCAGUUCACUGGACUGCAACUGACACUGAGGCUCGAAAGUGUGGGUAUCAAACAGGAUUAGAUACCCGAGUAGUC
rnacentral:rRNA from 1 species